UACGUAGGGGCUAGCGUUGUCCGGAAUCAUUGGGCGUAAAGCGCGUGUAGGACGGUCCGGUAAGUCCGCUGUGAAAGUCGAGGGCUCAACCUCGAAUGCCGGUGGAUACUGUCGGGCUUGAGUACGGGAGAGGCGAGUGGAAUUCCUGGUGUAGCGGUGAAAUGCGCAGAUAUCAGGAGGAACACCGAUUGCGAAGGCAGCUCGCUGGAACGUUACUGACGCUGAGACGCGAAGCGUGGGGAGCGAACAGG
rnacentral:rRNA from 1 species